rnacentral:lncRNA from 1 species
AUCCAUUUCAUUCUUAAAAUUGGACCCAAUGAUGUAAUGGAUAGGGAACCAUCAACUUCAAAAUGACUUGGGCCACAUUCAGCAACAGGCCCAAUUUCAAAAACACACUGCAGCUAUAAAGCAGGGAAUUCAAGAUUGAGUCCCUGCAGUAGCAUUCGAGAUCAGCCUUGACUGAAGGGAAAUCGACAUUAAGUCCAAUCAACUACCAGUAAUAUAAGUCAAUGCUAAACCUUCGGGCUUGGUCCUGAAUGAGCUCAUGUUUUGAUGAAGGAAGGAGGGCCCAAAAGAAUCACCAUAUGUCGACUUUGGCAGGUAAUUUACGAUGAGACAAUGAACAAUCUCCCAAUCAAUUUCCAAAUUAUAAGAUAAGAAAACAAAUUGAUGAAGCCAUAAAUAAUACUAUAGUCUGUAAAUGAAGAUGAUUUGAAAUCUACUCCAAAGUCUCACGCCUAACUUUCAAUUUAUCAAUUCAUGAAAAGUUCAUUCAAGCAUUCCUAACUAUCAUGUCAAAAAUUAAUCACACCUUAUUUCAGAUCUCCCCUCCCUUUCAAGUUUUAAAAAGAAAGCAAAAGGCAAGCAUAGCGGUUACCUUCUUUAGAACAAAAAAGAAACCUAAGAAAAUUUGAAGACAAAUGACUGCUCACUUCUACAUUUACAAACUCCACAUAGAAGAAGAGGAUUCAACAACCAACAUUUAACCUUUCAACGAGUUCAAGUAAAUAAGAGCUAGGACAUGAGUGAUUUCAAGAAUAACUGAACAAAUCUUCCAACCCAAAACAUUAGACUAAGGUUGUAUUACCAGAUUUUAACAGCUUCCUCACUCAACACACCCAAAAGAAUCAUAUGAUUCAGAUUUUUGAAGGAAAAUCAUGUGAGGAAUCAAGCUAACUUUGAGAGGUUAACCAGAGACGAACAAACAAGUUCAGAUUUCGUUUAAUACUCGGUUAGUUUUCCAAAGGCCCAAUACACUAUAGGAGCAUAACCAAUAGAAGAUUAAGAACUUUCAAAACUAGGUUAUAAACCAUACAAAUGCAGACUUAACCUGACUAUUGCCUAACCAAAUUCAACAAAAAAACUUCAAGAUUUGGAACCAACAUACGUUUGGUCAUGCAGUUAUUCACCCCAAACCAAAACCCAGAAAACCUCAAGUUAACUACUACAAACCACAGUCUAUAAUUAAUACAAAUGGAAAUACUACUUGGAGGUCACUUUCAUACACAAAAUUUAAGAGAAAAUGAAAAGACCUAUUUAACAUCUAUAUUUAGGGUCCAAGAAACUACAGUCCGAUUAUUACAAGUAUUGAAACGAGUAAAUGUUCAUGACACUACAUGAGUUCAAACAUUUUAAACCGAAAACAUGAAUCAACAAUUCGAAUAAAACAAAAACAAAAAGAAGAGGAACACAUUCAACAGGUAAGGAGAUCUUCAUCUAUUUAUGAUACAUGAAUCAACUUUUACAUUUGGUAUCAAGGUGUGUACCUAAAUAUGGCGAAGCAAAAUCAAAAGUUGAGUUAAAGACUCAGAACGAAUCAGCAACAAUAGUAACAGCCGAUCAACAAUCAGUCCACAAUGGAAUAGUAUUCCAAUAAAUCAAAUAGCUCCAAACAAUCUCUCAACUUCCCAGAAUUAAACUAUUUUUCAAACCUAGAAUCAGGAAUUCUUUAAGAUCUAAAAUUUUUGACUAAUAACGAAAUUAAAGAGCAGAACUAGGACUAUUUAAGAUUAAAAAGCUGCAGGGAUUUUUUUGUAGUUUUAGGUAUCAGUCACUCCCGUUUUUAUGAAAGAAAGGUCUAUAUAUAUAGCCCUCUUUUGGUGCCCUUGGGCUGCAAGAAACAGAAUGCGAAUAAAUUCUCUCACAAGGCAUCUUUUUUAACAGAAAUGGGACAGCUGGCAGCCUGUUAUUGGCUCCAGCAACUUGUGCUAGCCAAAUAAGGCCAGCUGCCUCUAUGUUAGAAGUUUCCAUCACAUAAACUCAUCCAAAAGACCUUCUCUAUUUUCCAAGUUGGUCCCUAAGUUUUCAUCUAUUAAACUGAGAUCCUAGAAGUGUUUACCAAUUUCAAAACCUAACCAAACAAGAUAUGGCUAGCAGCUAUGAACAAAACCAAUCAAAUAGCAUAAAAUACUAGGCUUUUGCAAUCAAAUCAACAAAAAUUCAAUUUCCUGAUAAACUUCAAAAUUCAAUGUUAAAGGCUAAUGACGAACUUGACUCUAUGAGACGAACAAAAAAAGAUUAAUAGAAUACUAAAUAUUUACUCAACCAAAUCACAGAAACCCUAAAAUUCUUAUCAUGCAAUUAAGAGGGAAAAGAAACUGAACAGUAAGAUUAAAAAAAAUCAUACUAGACCUGACUUUCACAACUGUUCAAGCAUAUGCGGGUAUAUGAUAAACAAAUCUCCAUUACAUGACUAAAGAAAACAGAGCUAAACCAAACUCGGACAGGUAACCAUAAAAGAAAUCAGAAAAGAGAAAAACCAAAAAAAUUAACAUACUAACCAGAAGCCAAAGAGGACGGGGCGAGGUUCAGACUCACCAGAACACCUAACGACUGAGCUCAAACUCGAUCAAGGAGGCAGAGAAGCGGUUGACUGAAUAGAAGUUGGCUCUCAAAAAUGAACCAACAUAAAGGUGGUUUUGGACGGGAACUCUUGUUUGACACAAGUCUUGGGUCAUCUUGGUUUCUAAAAUGUAACGAAACAACUUUGGACGAACUAGGGUUCCCAAUUCAGAUCUAAAAUUUAAGGCACUAGAAAAGGUGUUUAGGGAUUUUAUCGAUGGAUUUGGGAAAAAGAGAGUGCAGGGGUUGCCUUGUACCAAUUUGAGGCGGUUUGGAGUGAUUAGGUUUUAGAGCCCGAUUUUGGAUCUAAAAUUUGAGCAGACUCAGAGAGAUUCAAGGGGAACUACUUUGGGGUUUAGAAAGAGGGAGGUGAGAAAAUUGUUUGGUGUUAAUUUGGGGAUGAGAGGAGGUGGUACUGCCACCUUGAGGCUGUGGAAACAGGGGGUGGCGGGCUAGGUUUUUUGGGUGUUCUCUGAGGGUGCAUUGUGAGAGAGACGCUUGAGAGGGGGGGUGAUAGGUUAGGGCACUUAAAUACUCCAACAAACCUCACU